AGAGUUUGAUCAUGGCUCAGAUUGAACGCUGGCGGAAUGCUUUACACAUGCAAGUCGAACGGCAGCACGGGGCAACCUGGUGGCGAGUGGCGAACGGGUGAGUAAUACAUCGGAACGUGCCCAAUCGUGGGGGAUAACGUAGCGAAAGUUACGCUAAUACCGCAUACGAUCUACGGAUGAAAGCGGGGGAUCGCAAGACCUCGCGCGAAUGGAGCGGCCGAUGUCAGAUUAGGUAGUUGGUGGGGUAAAGGCUCACCAAGCCAACGAUCUGUAGCUGGUCUGAGAGGACGACCAGCCACACUGGAACUGAGACACGGUCCAGACUCCUACGGGAGGCAGCAGUGGGGAAUUUUGGACAAUGGGCGCAAGCCUGAUCCAGCCAUUCCGCGUGCAGGAUGAAGGCCUUCGGGUUGUAAACUGCUUUUGUACGGAACGAAACGGCGAGCUCUAAUACAGUUUGCUAAUGACGGUACCGUAAGAAUAAGCACCGGCUAACUACGUG
rnacentral:rRNA from 1 species